AAAAUCCGUCGACUUUAGAAAUCGUGAGGGUUCAGGUCCCUCUAUCCCCC
rnacentral:tRNA from 1 species